rnacentral:lncRNA from 1 species
AGGAUUUGAUUCAGAGGAAUGAAGACUAAAAUGAGGGGGCAGGACUGGCAUCCUGGAUUCGCCUUUCUAGACCUCAUGCUUGAGCAUGGGGUUGUUUAGCACAGGGACCCGUUUGGCUCUCAGGCUCCAGAAAACUUUUUAACCCAUCGAACCCACUGUGUUUUAUUUUUGUCAAGACCACAUUUAUUUGGGCACCAGCUCACUGUUUCACAUUAUGUGGGGACACUGAGGACUUACCGGUCACCUCUCUCACAAUAGCUUGAUCUCUGUAAUCUUUAAAAAGGUGUUGAGUAGUAAGUAGCUCAGGAUGAAUGAGAACCAUGCCAGUGGAUCUUUAGAAUAUUCCAUUUGUGCAAAGGGACCAAGAUUCCCCCUGUGAAAGCAAGAGUAUUAAUGGCCCAAGAUGUUUGUUCAGACUAUACAGGGAAGUGGGACUUAGUGGGGAGCAUCUUCAGUCCACCAAGGACAGUGUCCUGUCUCUGGUGGGGUUCUCCCGAAGCAGACCAAAGAUAUUGAUGGCUAUGUAGGUGAUGCAUUAUGAGAGUGGGAAGAUGAGACGGGCAAGGGAAGGAGGCCAAGCAAGGAUGUGAUCUUGAGUUGAGUUCCAUGUUGGGAGACUUUGGCUUCAUCUUGCAGGGAGCUCUAGAGGCCAUGUCAUAACAUCCCAGAAUUCUCCCCGUCAGGGUUAAGAAAGCUGGAGUAUUUAUAUCCCCGUGCUGUCAAUCAUUGACCAAGGACUGCUGCUCUGGAGGGACCCUCUGGUUCUCUCUGCCUACUGACAAAGCAGGUUCUGUCAGCUUGAUGGCAGCCAUUGGACAAAGAGUGCAGGUGGUGACUGUUAGAAAUGAAAGUGGGUAAGGGUCAGGGAGCAUCAUCCUCUACUGCUUCUCCCAAAUGGGCCCCAUGAAGGAACUCUAUAACAGACAACUCUAUAAUAGACAACUCUGUAAUAGAACUCUAUAAUAGAACUCCAUUGUACAUGGUGACCCUGUGGCGAGAUGUGAUAUCAGCAAUUUGGGCUCUAUACAAGAAUAUAUAUGAAGUAUGGGAAUUUCCCCU